rnacentral:lncRNA from 1 species
UUGAUCCCAUAUUUACUGACAUGCAUCGGCAACGCUACUUCCCCAUCUAUUUCUUGCUGAAUUGAGAGUCCUUCAUGAGUAGUUGCUAUUAGGAAUAUUACAUCCCACGAGAAUCGACUGUAAUCUAAUUACACUAACAAACAGAUGCAAAAUAAAAUUAAUAUUGAACUGAUUUAAUAUGAGUGGAGAAUUAAUAUUAAAACUAUCCUAGCUUACAGAUCGAAGGUAUACAAAGUACUGUCCUAAGGCGAUUCCUAACCCUCAUAUGAGAUCUGACUCGAGUAAUUUGCCCUAAGAUACAACUAGAAGACCUCUCCUAUGAGCAUGACCAUGGAGAGAAAGACAGAGCCUCGACCCAGCAGAUGAAAGAUCAAAAAUGAAGAAAAAAAAUUUUUAGAAGAAAGAUCUCUGUAGAAUGAGAGAAUAAUCGAGAG